UACAGAGGUCCCAAGCGUUGUUCGGAUUCAUUGGGCGUAAAGGGUGCGUAGGUGGCGCCCGUAAGUGGGGUGUGAAAUUUCGGAGCUUAACUCCGAAACUGCAUUCCAUACUGCGGUGCUUGAGGACUGGAGAGGAGACUGGAAUUCAUGGUGUAGCAGUGAAAUGCGUAGAGAUCAUGAGGAAGACCAGUGGCGAAGGCGGGUCUCUGGACAGUUCCUGACACUGAGGCACGAAGGCCAGGGGAGCAAACGGGG
rnacentral:rRNA from 1 species